rnacentral:rRNA from 1 species
UACAGAGGGUGCAAGCGUUAAUCGGAAUUACUGGGCGUAAAGCGCGCGUAGGUGGUUUGUUAAGUUGGAUGUGAAAUCCCCGGGCUCAACCUGGGAACUGCAUUCAAAACUGACAAGCUAGAGUAUGGUAGAGGGUGGUGGAAUUUCCUGGUGUAGCGGUGAAAUGCGUAGAUAUAGGAAGGAACACCAGUGGCGAAGGCGACCACCUGGACUGAUACUGGACCACUGAGGUGCGAAAGCGUGGGGGAGCAAACAGGA